AACGCGAAGAACCUUACCUAAGCUUGACAUCCCACUGACCUCUCCCUAAUCGGAGAUUUCCCUUCGGGGACAGUGGUGACAGGUGGUGCAUGGUUGUCGUCAGCUCGUGUCGUGAGAUGUUGGGUUAAGUCCCGCAACGAGCGCAACCCUUGCUUUUAGUUGCCAGCAUUAAGUUGGGCACUCUAGAGGGACUGCCAGGGAUAACCUGGAGGAAGGUGGGGAUGACGUCAAAUCAUCAUGCCCCUUAUGCUUAGGGCUACACACGUGCUACAAUGGGUGGUACAGAGGGCAGCCAAGUCGUGAGGCGGAGCUAAUCCCUUAAAGCCAUUCUCAGUUCGGAUUGUAGGCUGAAACUCGCCUACAUGAAGCUGGAGUUACUAGUAAUCGCAGAUCAGAAUGCUGCGGUGAAUGCGUUCCCGGGUCUUGUACACACCG
rnacentral:rRNA from 1 species